rnacentral:tRNA from 1 species
GGCAGUGUAGCGCAGUGGUUAGGGAACUGGAGUCGCAAUUCAGAGGUUGCGAGUUCGAUUCCCAGUCGGUGUGC